rnacentral:rRNA from 1 species
UACGAGGGAUCCUAGCGUUGUUCGGAAUCAUUGGGCGUAAAGGGUGCGUAGGCGGCCAAGUAAGUCAGUUGUGAAAGCCCCGGGCUCAACCCGGGAAGUGCUUCUGAUACUGCUUGGCUUGAGUAUUGGAGAGGUGAGUGGAAUUCCAGGUGUAGUGGUGAAAUACGGUAGAUAUCUGGAGGAACACCGGCGGCGAAGGCGGCUCAACUGGCCAUAGUACUGA